AGAAUCAACGCUGGCGGCGUGCCUAACACAUGCAAGUCGAGCGCGAAAGGGGAGCAAUCCCCGAGUAGAGCGGCGAACGGGUGAGUAACGCGUGGGUAAUCUACCUCCGAGUGGGGAAUAACAGCGGGAAACUGCUGCUAAUACCGCAUGACAUCGUCGAGCCUUCGGGCCUGACGAUCAAAGCCGGGACCGCAAGGCCUGGCGCUUGGAGAGGAGCCCGCGUCCGAUUAGCUAGUUGGCGGGGUAAUGGCCCACCAAGGCUCCGAUCGGUA
rnacentral:rRNA from 1 species